rnacentral:rRNA from 1 species
AGAUGACGCUAGCGGCAGGCUAAUACAUGCAAGUCGAACGAUACUACCGGGCUUGCUCGGUAGGAAAGUGGCGCACGGGUGCGUAACGCGUAUGCAACCUACCUUAAUCAGGGGGAUAGCCCGAAGAAAUUCGGAUUAACACCGCAUAAAAACACAGGAUAGCAUUAUCCAAUGUUCAAAUAUUUAUAGGAUUAAGAUGGGCAUGCGUGUCAUUAGCUAGUUGGCGGGGUAACGGCCCACCAAGGCGACGAUGACUAGGGGAUCUGAGAGGAUGACCCCCCACACUGGUACUGAGACACGGACCAGACUCCUACGGGAGGCAGCAGUAAGGAAUAUUGGUCAAUGGAGGCAACUCUGAACCAGCCAUGCCGCGUGCAGGAAGACAGCCCUCUGGGUCGUAAACUGCUUUUAUUCGGGAAUAAACCUACUUACGUGUAAGUAGCUGAAUGUACCGAAGGAAUAAGGAUCGGCUAACUCCGUGCCAGCAGCCGCGGUAAUACGGAGGAUCCAAGCGUUAUCCGGAUUUAUUGGGUUUAAAGGGUGCGUAGGCGGCUUAUUAAGUCAGGGGUGAAAGACGGUGGCUCAACCAUCGCAGUGCCCUUGAUACUGAUGAGCUUGAAUGGACUAGAGGUAGGCGGAAUGUGACAAGUAGCGGUGAAAUGCAUAGAUAUGUCACAGAACACCGAUUGCGAAGGCAGCUUACUAUGGUCUUAUUGACGCUGAGGCACGAAAGCGUGGGGAUCAAACAGGAUUAGAUACCCUGGUAGUCCACGCCCUAAACGAUGAAUACUCGCUGUUAGCGAUACACAGUUAGCGGCUAAGCGAAAGCGUUAAGUAUCCACCUGGGA